AACGAACGCUGGCGGCAUGCCUAACACAUGCAAGUCGAACGAGACCUCCGGGUCUAGUGGCGCACGGGUGCGUAACGCGUGGGAACCUGCCCUUAGGUUCGGAAUAACUCCCCGAAAGGGGUGCUAAUACCGGAUAAUGUCUUCGGACCAAAGAUUUAUCGCCUUUGGAUGGGCCCGCGUUGGAUUAGCUAGUUGGUAGGGUAAAAGCCUACCAAGGCGACGAUCCAUAGCUGGUCUGAGAGGAUGAUCAGCCACACUGGGACUGAGACACGGCGCAGACUCCUACGGGAGGCAGCAGUGGGGAAUAUUGGACAAUGGGCGAAAGCCUGAUCCAGCAAUGCCGCGUGAGUGAUGAAGGCCUUAGGGUUGUAAAGCUCUUUUACCCGGGAUGAUAAUGACAGUACCGGGAGAAUAAGCACCGGCUAACUCCGUG
rnacentral:rRNA from 1 species